rnacentral:tRNA from 1 species
GCCCGUCUGGCUCAGUUGGUAGAGCAUGUUGUUUGCAACGCCAGGGUUGUGGGUUCGAUUCCCACGGGGGACC